GGGGCCGUCGUCUAGCCUGGCUAGGAUGCCAGCCUGGGGAGAUCGCUGGUGGUCCCGGGUUCAAAUCCCGGCGGCCCCA
rnacentral:tRNA from 1 species